rnacentral:rRNA from 1 species
UACGUAGGGGGCUAGCGUUGUCCGGAAUCAUUGGGCGUAAAGCGCGCGUAGGUGGCCCUGUAAGUCCGUUGUGAAAGUCAAAGGCUCAACCUUUGAAAGCCGAUGGAUACUGCAGGGCUAGAGUCCGGAAGAGGCGAGUGGAAUUCCUGGUGUAGCGGUGGAAUGCGCAGAUAUCAGGAGGAACACCAACGGCGAAGGCAGCUCGCUGGGACGGUACUGACGCUGAGGCGCGAAAGCGUGGGGAGCGAACAGG